GGGAGAAGCUAAGUGAGAGUGGAAGAGAAGCAGGAAGUUACAGAGAAAUGGGUGAAGUGCAGUGCAUUCUAUAGGCCUGUUGCCUGUUAACUGCAGUCUUGGUGAAUAUCAAAAAAAGGUGUGUGAAGGAGCUUUCAUUAUUGUCAUUUCCACAUAAGCCCAGAUCCUGCAGUUGACUCUGUGUGGGUGGGACUCUAUUGAAGUCAAUGAGGCUCCACACUGGGGAUGGGUUCUACCUGUGAGAAGUCAGUUGCAUGAUCAGGGCCCUAGUGCGACGCCUCAGGGUGCAUUCCGGAGCCUGCUUACCAAGAUAAUUUUAUCAACAUCCGUCUUGAAUUGUGGACACCAGAA